rnacentral:rRNA from 1 species
GACGUAGGGCGCGAGCGUUGUCCGGAUUUAUUGGGCGUAAAGAGCUCGUAGGCGGCUUGUUGCGUCGACUGUGAAAACCCGCGACUUAACUGCGGGCUUGCAGUUGAUACGGGCAGGCUAGAGUUCGGUAGGGGAGACUGGAAUUCCUGGUGUAGCGGUGAAAUGCGCAGAUAUCAGGAGGAACACCGGUGGCGAAGGCGGGUCUCUGGGCCGAUACUGACGCUGAGAAGCGAAAGCAUGGGGAGCGAACAGG